AGCGAACGCGGAUUAGCCCAAACCAGAGUAGUUACGGCUACUUUGGGGUUGUAGGACUGCAAUGUCUGAUCAAAACAGAAUAGGAAUAAUGUGGGAAAAUUAGCCAAAGAGGGUGAGAGCCCCGUACUGGUAAUGUUUUGUGAGGUAGCAGUAUCCUGAGUAAGGCGGGACAGGUGAAAUCCCGUUUGAAUCAGCCGGCACCAUCCGGCAAGGCUAAAUACUCCUAAGAGACCGAUAGUGAACAAGUACCGUG
rnacentral:rRNA from 1 species